CUCCGCCGCGGGCUCUGCCCGCUCGCCUGCUCGCCUGGUGGGGGAGAGGGGAGCGGGGCCGACACAGGACUGCAGUUGACAGCAGAUAACUGAAAGCUCGGAAAGCGAAACCGUGGAUAAGCAGGGGAACUGUGGCAUCCCAUUUAAAAUUGCUUCUGAAGAGAAGCAUGAGGUUACAUCUGUAAUCUCCCUGCAGCAGAGUCAACUGCAUAAGAAACCAAAAGACACACCUGCUCCAUGCCAGCUUCGAUAAUUUCUUUGUACCUUCGGCGAAAGAAGCCCAUCUGAAAGGCAGAAAGAAAGAGAAGCUGAGUUAGAAGUGCUGAAGAAUCAGCCAUUGUGACCCCAAGGCAGUCUGUCCCUGGCCUAAGCCACCACAUAAAAAGUCAGACCAUCUGCUGGAAGAACCACAUGGAGAGGCCCUGAGUCAACAUGGAGAGGAAGAAGGACUUGACUGAAUCCAGCCUUCCAGCUGUCCCUACCAAGGUGCCAGGCAUGAGAAUGAAGCUGUCUUGAACUCUGA
rnacentral:lncRNA from 1 species